AGUUAUCUAUGUAACUGUAUAGUAGAAUUAUUUCUCUAAUUGAUAGUGCGGCGUUGAUCACUAUAUUGAUGACGUCAUUACACUAUUAAUAUUUUUCUUUGUAGACUAGAGGACUGAGCUUUUGUUGCUUGUCACAAUUUCUAGUGACGUAAAUUUAGUGUGUGUGUGAUUUGCGUCAUUUAUCGUCUAGUACAGUCUCUCCAUUGUUUUGUACGUUGGUACAGAUAGGCGUGUCUUGAGAGCUCUUGAAUUUCUCCUUGGUUUUUGUUACUGGAUAGCCUUAACAUUUGCCUUGGACAUUUUCUUGUUGGAUUAUCUUGACCCCUGUUUAGGGCUUUAGCGUCAAGUGUAAGUUUUAGUCGUAGUCUCAAUUCAAGACUCUUAUUUCAAGUUCUAGCGACAAGUCUAAGUAGUGAUCUUAGCUUGGUGUCAAGUCUAUGUGUUAGACUCAGUGUCAAGUCUUGGUGUCAAGACUUGUUUAUCCAGUCUCAGUUCUAUAUUGAGAGUACAACUUUAGGUCUACAGUCUACAGGACUGAGGUUUGUCCUUCCAGUUGGUCGUUUGGUGUGCAAGUUGCUUCUUACAUGAGUCUGAGGUUCAAGAUUCCAGACUGUGGGUUGCAUUGGUAAGACCUGAUGGUGUAGUGUCAACUAUGAACUUCUACUUUUGGAAUUGUCGUCAGUGGACAGUACAUGAUCUAGAGGCUAGAUCUACAUAUAUUACCAGUUGUUGUUUUGAGAUUGAAGGUCUAUGUGAUCCAUUGAACUACCUAUUAUAGUUAAGGUAAUAUAUUAUGUAUUUCAUAAUUAUUUGAAUGUUCUAAAGAGACUAACUGGAUCAUUUUAUAUUACAUAUUAUUACAUAUUGAUAUUUCAUACUAUUAUUAUCAUUCAUCAUGGAUCAGUCAUUUGUAAAUAUAUCACAAGAAUAAAUUUUAUUGUUAUUUACAUCA